rnacentral:rRNA from 1 species
GUGUCAGCAGCCGCGGUAAUACGGAGGGUGCAAGCGUUGUUCGGAAUUAUUGGGCGUAAAGCGCGUGUAGGCGGACAGUUAAGUCCGGUGUGAAAUCCCUCGGCUCAACUGAGGACGUGCACUGGAUACUGGCGGUCUUGAAUCCUGGAGAGGGUAGCGGAAUUCCCAGUGUAGAGGUGAAAUUCGUAGAUAUUGGGAGGAACACCGGUGGCGAAGGCGGCUACCUGGACAGUGAUUGACGCUGAGACGCGAAAGCAUGGGUAGCAAACAGGAUUAGAAACCCCUGUAGUCC